GAUCAAAAGAAAUUUGGUUUAUGCUUUGCAGAAGCAGCAGAGAUCUCGUGUGUUGGGAAGGUAACUGGAAAGACAAAGUCUUUUUAUGCCCUCUGUUUAAGUCCUACUUCUCUGUCCUCAGCUACAGGUCUCCACAUCUCACAUUACAGUUCCAGCAGCAACUGCAGACCAGGUCACUGACACAACUAAACCAUCCCCAGAAACACAGAGUGACUUGUGAACUUUAUGGCACAUUUUGACACAAAGUAGUGAGAUGUGGGCUCUGAGUAUGUCAGGAUAAACCAUGGUAUCUUCACUGUUUUAUUUCAUACAUGUUGUAUCUUGAGAAAACUGAACUGUGCAAAGCCGUCUUUCUUUUUGAGGAUGUUCUGACAUUCUCUGUACUGCUGACUGAUGACAUGUAGAUAGUCUUUCUUUCAGAUUAUCUAUGGGCCUUCCAGAACAGAAUUUAUCCAUCCUAUGGGGAGAAAUCCAGACAGGAUUUGUUUGUCAUUUAGGCAACAGGCAUAUAUUCACAUCAAUAUCACAUUUAGGAACAGAGUGGACACAAUAUGCAAUGAAAAACUGAACACAAAUUGAAGAUAAUGCACAUACACUCACACUCACAUGAAAAAUGAAUUAUUAUAAAGCAAACAAAUAUGAAAGCAGUGCAUUUAGCAGUUACUGAUAAAGUUCCAUUACAGUUAAUUUACUUUCCGAAGAAUUUAUACUUGGACAGGUGCAGCACUCCUCUUAUGUCAAGAUUCUUUGACUUCUGGACUCAUAGUUCUGGAGAAAUAUAUAUAUACACGUAUAUAUUUAAUUAAAAUGAUGAGAUUCCAUCAAUGGAGUAGAAUGCUAAUGGAAAACAACCUGUAGUUUAUAGGCCCUGUCAUAUAUAAAAAUAUUAUCUUCUCAAGAGCAACAAGAAGGUGAUGGGACUUGGGCACAGCCAAAUCUGGGCAUCAAUUACAUGCAUUUUCAAAUCCACCAGCAACUGGGUCCCGCCCUGCCCUGCCUGGUUUGCCCAGAAUGGAGUAGGGGCAGCGGGGCUGGAGCUGCUGUCCCGUCCCUGGCUGGGCAGGCGGGGGAUACUCUGCUGCAAAACCCUCUCUGCGCCGGCGGAGGGCAGCCGCCACCAGGGAAAGAAACCGAGCCGUGAAUCUGCAAGUCAUGAAAAGGAAGUGCUAAAAACGGCUUGGAAACAACCGGGCUCCGCAGCAACUGGUUCGUCUAGGGCAGGGUCCUCCGGAGACAGAGUUGCCUUUUCUUCCUGGGAGCCCACUGUCAAGCUACUUCAUCUGAAACCAGUUUUCCCAUCAUUCCCAGAGCCACAGACUGAAUAAGUGUAUAGAAAAUGCAGGAAGAAGUUACACCUCCUGUGAGUUUUAGAGAGGAGAUAGGACUUGUGCAGCUCCUACCAGUGUGCCUGGAAGCCUACACAAGAAUGAAGACUAUUUGGAAGAGGUGGAAAGGGGAGAAGAAGGUGUGUAAGCUCUCAGGGCAAGUACCAGCAAAUCACAAUUUGCCCUGUGGGUGAAUGAGUAUGAGGGCAUCUGGGCUGUUCUCCACCAUAAUCCCACCAUUGAUAAGCAGCAUGGAUGGAUUCUUGCAGCCAGACCUAUGUCUUUACACAGAGCAGGUAACACCAACCCAAAGCCUACAGGCAUCUACAGUCAACAGUAUAGACAUGCUUGGUGGAACAUAUACAUGUAUAUGACCUUGUAGAGUGAGGUCAGGGAGCAUGGGAAAGAACCUCUGUGUACAGGAAAUUUUAGUACAUAUCUCUGUGUUGGAGAGGGACAAGACUUAGCACAAUACAGCACUUUUCCACAACCUAUCCUCCAGGGUGUGCAGCAGGCCUACAAGUGUUCAUAGCACAGCAUAAAACUGGGCUGUAUGUGCUUACAUUUACUGUUUGUGUGUGUCCUACUUAUUAUUUUGAUGAUCAGAAGGCUGGAGAACCUCUCCUAUGAAGAAAGGCUGAGAGAGCUGGGGCUGUUCAACUUAAAGAAGAGAAGGCUCCAGGGUGACUUCAUUGCAGCUUUUCAGUACUUAAAGGGGGCUUGUAAAAAAGAUGGA
rnacentral:lncRNA from 1 species